UAUUAUUAUUUUAAAAGUUGAAACCCUAUUCUCUCUCCACAUUCUUAGCUAGCCAAACUCAGCCGCCCCUCUUUCUUUCUUUCUCUGAUCUCUUCUUUCUUCUCCUCAUACCCUAUGUUUCUUUCCCUCAUACCACCACCAUCUUCAUCAGCUCCAUCUCCCUUCACCCAAAAACAGUCAGACCCUGUUGCCCCUCCCUCACCAUCUCCCACCUCAACGGUCCUACCCGGGUCAUGAGGACCCAAGUGCAAGUGUCUGAAUCACCCAGACCCAUCUCGGCGUCCCUCGUGCGCGACCCUGAAGUCAGGUGACCCGAACCCAGACACGACCCCAACUUAGCCCUCACCACCAUCUGACCACCCUUGCGCCACCUCACCUCGCCUGUUUUCACACCAAACCCAAACUAGACCAGGAGUGAUUUCUGCCUCUCUUCUCUUCUUUUCACAUGUAUAUAUAUUUUACCCUAACAGAGAUGGUCAAUGGCAACAAGACCUUUGGGAAAACCAUUUGCUCAAUCUGCUACGAAGAUCUGAAGGCCAUUGUUGAAGAUCUUCAAGCUAUAUCCAUUUGCGGCCAUGUCUUCCACGAGCUAUGGUUGGUCUUGGAAUGACUGAGAAAGGACAACAAAGAGCUCAAACAAGAGAGAUGGAUAUAUUGAGAGACAGAAACUUGGCAUUGUGUAAUGCUUUGGCUAGCUCAAGGAAGGUGGAAAUGGUUAUGUAUAAAAUGGCUGGUCAUGCAUUUCCAAUCCUGCAUAAUUCUAAUUUUUCUCAACUUCAAACUCAGGAAAUGAUGUCCCAUUUCAAGACUUUUAUCCACCAAUAAGUAUUGGUGAAUUAAUGGUUUUUGUAAUUUUUUUUAUAUGCUUUAGGGUAUAAAAAUGGUUUAUAGUGAUAUUUAGGAGGCUCACUAAUUAUGUUUAUAUUAGUUAAGUUUAAUUACAGAGCUUUUUUAUGGCAAGCAACCCAGAAAUGUAUUGAUUUUAUUUUGCUUUAUCUUUGCUUCUUUUAUGGGUUUUAGUUCCAAAAUUUCUAGUGGGUUUUUCAAUGGAGAAAAUAAUGGUAAAUUUGAAGCUCCUAUUGUGGGUUUUAUGCAAGUUCUCUAAUGGGAGUUAUCAUUUUUCUUGAACUAUAGUGGAGUCAUUGUAAUUGAGGAAGCACAAGCUGGAUUUGUUUGCCGAGUGCAGUCAUCUGACAAAAGCAAGUUUAAGGUUUAUUUAUGAAAUAUAUUGUAGGACUUUUGCAUGAAGUUUACUGCCUUUUGUUUUAUCUUUUCGUUUUGUUAUGGGUGGUGUGUUUUGUAUUUGUGCUUUUCUUAAAUAAUCACAAGACCUUUAAGAAGAAAGCAACUUCUUUUACUAUGUUUUCUACUAUGUAGUCCCUUUUGUUGAUGUUAGUACCCCUAUUAUGGUUUGUCUUUAAUAAAGUUUCCUCCAAACAUAUUAUUAGGCAAUAAAUAGUUUCUAAUAUUAGCUUUUUUGGGGUUACAGGUUUGUGUAAUAUUUGGCGUUGAAUUUCAAAAUUUCUGGUAGUUUUGGUUCUAUUCGUUUAUAAUUUUUUUUAUACUUUGUUGUUUUUGUUCUCUGGUUGUAAACUUAUUGUUUUGUUGUGGUAGAGACAAUACCUAGGGAGGCUGAAAAAUAGGACAAGUCUUCUAAUCAUAUUCCAAAAUGGUAGUAGUUUGGUUUGGGUCAAAGAUUGACCUUUAUUGAUAGCAUUCUGAGGUACCAAUAUUUUAAAUUUUAGUGCAGGUAUAGGAAGAACUAGAGCAUACUGUGUAAUUCAUAAACAGCAAGAGUCAUAAAAUUGUGGAGCAUAUGAAUGAGCGAUCCAGAUAUUGCUGUAAAGUUUUUUUUGUAAAUGGCAAAUACAUGUUUAUAUAUAUAUUAUGAAAGAAACAAAAUAGUCUCGACCCUUACAUUCUACGUUCCUUCACUGGAGGUUACUAGAAAAGCUCAUGGAGGAGAAAAUGUUUGGAGAAAUUUGAGUAUUAUGUUACAGGGCACAACUGUUUACAGUAAGGACAAUUCGUCUUGCUUAAAUAUAACACAACUGAUGAACAUCAUACAAACAAAUAUAGAAGAUGGGCAUAUUAUCAUGUAUAGUUUUUUUCUGAAAAUGAAAUGGCAAGAACACUUGGGAUAUGAAAACCCACAUUCAGAUACUGAAUCAAUCAUCAACGAGUGGACUGAAGGAGCAUGACAAACAGAAGGAUGCUAUUCUUACGUUGGGUGUCAUGAUAAUAUACAAGAGGAUGUACUAAUACAAGAGGAAAUGAAUGGACAUUUCAAAGGGCCAAAGGAAAAAGAGAAGUGUGUUACAUGCUCUUCAUUUUGUGUGACCUCUAUGAUUGAUAGAAUAUCAAACAAACUCACAUAUAAGAACUUCUAGCUCUUUUGGAAACCAAAAGGGAAAGGGAAUGAGGAAAAGAUCAGUCACUAUCCACAU